AAAAAUUAUUUAAUUAUUGAAUAUGAAUGACCUCAUCAGUAAGAUACGGGUGGUAACAAUGGCUACCACUGAGAGUUCUUUGAGGAGGAAAUCUAAUGCCAUACAUGAAUGUACGUAACACAUGGUAAGUAGUCAAUAAAAGUCCCUGUGACCUUUCCAAAUAGGAUAUAUACUUGGAGCUCCUAGAUGUAACAGCCAUGCUUUUAGCUUUUGUUUCUUGGUCCUUUUAGGGCCACACCCAAGGCACAUGGAGGUUCCCAGGCUAGGGGUCUAAUUGCACCAGCCACAGCCACAGCCACGCCAGAUCCAAGCCGUGUAUGCGACCUACACCACAGCUCAUUACAACACCAGAUCCUUAACCCACUGAGCGAGGCCAGGGAUCGAACCCACAACCUCAUGGUUCCUAGUCGGAUUCAUUUCCACUGUGCCAUGACGGGAACAAUGCUUUUAACUUUUUGUAGGCAUCUCCAAAUGCCCCAAAUAUGUUGUGAUGGCCUGUCUUUUGACCAAAACACCAAUUUGUAUGCAGAUAUUAGGAAGUGAACAUGUGGUAACCAAUCACCUGACUUUUAAAUGUUAAAAAAUUCUUUGCUUUCUACUCUCUGGACAUCUUUGUUAACUGUUAUUAAACACCGUAAUAGCAAUUUUAAAGAUUAAGUAUUUGCAUGUGUUUGGGGCUAUGUAAAGGGCCUGCUGUGGAACAAAUAAGAAAUAAUUUUAUGGAGAGAACCUCUAAGCUAAGGAGCAGGCAGCAAAAUAGAUACACUAAAUAGAUACACUAAAAUCAUUAGUAGGAAAGAAUAGUCUUUACUCAUUUAGAUUUAUCACUAUUGUGUAAGAAUUUAGGAGUAAUCACAGUAGCUUGAAUCCCACUUCAUUUGCAGAUUCAAUUCCUUCUUGCUGAAGCACACCUCUUUUAGCAGUUCAUUUAUCAGAUCUUAGUGUGGUGAAAUCGCUCUGUCUUUGCUUGUCUCAAAAUGUCUUUAUUUUUGCCCUCAGUUUUGAGUGACAGAUUAACUGGCUACUGGAGUUCCCUUGUGAUGUUCACUUCCUGUGGGUGCUUUGAAGAUGUUUCCCGGUUGUCCCUGUCAUUGCUACUGAUCAGAUCUUUGCCGGUCCAAUUGCUCUUUUGUAAGCUGCUUUUUUUUUCUCAGCUGGCAUUUAAGGCUUUCUUUUUCUCUUUGAUUUUCUCAAAUUUCACUAUGAUGUGUCUAGGUGUUUAUUACGCAUUUAGUGUUCUUGAGCUUGCACAGAACCUGGAUUCGUUGAGCGGCAGGUUUGGUUCUCUGAAGCUAGAUGAUGAGAUGGAGUAUGGCAAGCACCGUGUUUAUUAGGUGCCAACUAUCUGACCUCUAUUUUGGCAGGUACCGCCAUCCUCAUGGCCAUUGUCAAACCAAGUUCUAUGAUAGCCUCUCUCACUGUCAGCCUGGGUCUGCAUGAACCACCACGGAAUGUUCAGUGAUGCUCAAACCCCUUCCCUUAGCUCAUCCCACAUAACUUUGGUAAAUGGUGUGUCAUCCAAGUCUUCCUGUAAAGCAUAGCCAUCUGGCGGCCAUUGAGCCACAUACAGAAUACCUAUUACUGGCUGCCCACUGCCGUGAGCCUCUGAAGCCUUUCUUCCUUUGUCAUUCGGCCUCGACCAUGUCUCCCCAAAAUUAUGGGCCAUAAUUUUUUCCAUGCUUCCAGGAGCUAACCUCGUAGUCAUUGUGAGUCAUGUCUUAGGGUAUUUGCCAGGGUUAAACUUAUCUAUUCUUUAUCUCAGGACACUAUUCCCAAGUAAAUAUACUUACCCGUGCAGUUUCAUGUUUGGGUCCAGUGUUCUCGGAGUCCAGUGCCACACGUACUCGCUGGCUUCUACCAGUCUGUGCCAGGGAGGGCUUGCAACACCUUUGUGGGUACAGUCCCUUUGUACCCUUAUCUGGCCCAGUACAUCCAGUUGGGUUAUGCUGCUCCUUUGCCCUAGUCCUCGGCCUGGUGUCCCAGAGGAGAUAUGGAGGGGGGGUCCCAAGGAGAGAGGUAGGAUGUGUCACCCUGGGAUAAAGUGUCCUCAGCACUUACACCAUGACACUGGGGAGGGGGCUGUGGAGAGUGGGGAUGCUCAGCCUUGGGGGGAAGAUCGGCAAAUCUUUAGGGUGAGAAGAAGUCAAAAUCUGCAAGGACACACACCUCGAUGUCCCUAGGCUCUGUAUCCAGGCCUAGGUUUUCUCAGCUUCACGUAACAGACCUGUCCUGCUUGGGCAUUUGACAGUCUCUGGGGUGCAGCCAUUAUGUUCAUUAGGUCUGGGCUCCACCCUCAUUUUUCCCUGCUAGAGGAGACGGGAAUUUCUUUGUGUGCAGCCAAAUGAGACCCCCGGCUUUCUCACCCCGUUUUCAGGUGCCUCUAACUCAUCCUUAGCUGCUUUUCAUAUUUCUGUAAAGCAUCAGUGUUACUUAGCAAGAGAUGCCAAGUCGAAAUUAUUACCAUUUUGUCCAUAAUCUUAAAAGUCUGAGACAUUCAACCCACAGGGCCUCCUUUCCACUGAUAGACCCUCUCACUUUACCACCAGUUAAGAGAUUUAGUAAUGUGCCACCCUGUGCCAGGGGCUACAGAAAACAAGGACAGUGGAGCGAGUUCCAGUCCUUGUUACGGUACAUCUGAGAUACCCUGCUGACAUCUCAUGAGUGAGCGUUGACUAUUGAUAUGUAGGUUUUGCCAAGAGGCUAGAAUUGGACUCAUUUCUUUACCCGUAAACUCAUUUAUGUUGGCCAGGAAGCUUUUGAGUUCAUAUAAAGAGUUCAAGGUAGUUUUGCAACAAUUUAUGCACACCAUAACUUCUGCCAACAAUAUUGCCAUGUACCUUCAAAAUGAGAAAUUGGUGUUGGCCUGUUGUAUCAUUAUUUGGGACUAUGCAAAUAAACUGCUAAGUAAGCACUUAUUAAGAGACUUAGAUGAAAAGAAAAAUAUCCUUUAAAUGGAUGACAUAAAUGUCUUUUGACCUUAAAGAACUUAAAAAAAAAAAAAAAAACAAACCGUAAGUCCGCAAUCAUAAUAAUAUUGGGAAAGGGAGUGAUUAUUUAAGUUAAAUGAUCUAUGAGAUAGAGGUGUGUGCUCCUCCCCAUAAAGCAGAACUUCCUACCAAGGGCCUGGGCGAUUCAGUUCACUGCUGUAACAAACAGGAUCACAGCACUCUGUAAGCCAGAGAGAACGUGCAAGGUAGCUUCAAGGACUUGAAUGGGAGCCCCUGGCAGCCCAGUGUUUCCAGACCUCUCUCUGAGGGGAGAUUUCUAGGAGGGUAUUUUCAAUUACCUCCUGUCUGUUCAACCUUUGCAAGGAAUUUAAUUGGAACAGACAGAGUAUUUAAGGGGAAUAAGUAAUGACAGCAUAGAUGGGUAGCGAUCAAUAGCCGGGGGGCCCCUGCCCUAGCUGAUACAUGGUGCUUUCUGAGACUGGUAUGUUCACUCUCG
rnacentral:lncRNA from 1 species